rnacentral:rRNA from 1 species
UACGUAGGGAGCAAGCGUUGUCCGGAAUCAUUGGGCGUAAAGCGCGCGUAGGCGGCCCCGUAAGUCCGCUGUGAAAGUCAAAGGCUCAACCUUUGAAAGCCGGUGGAUACUGUGGGGCUAGAGUCCGGAAGAGGCGAGUGGAAUUCCUGGUGUAGCGGUGGAAUGCGCAGAUAUCGAGAGGAACACCGGUGGCGAAGGCGGCCAACUGGACGAAUACUGACGCUGAGACACGAAAGCGUGGGGAGCAAACAGG